CCUACGGGUGGCAGCAGUGAGGAAUAUUGGUCAAUGGGCGGAAGCCUGAACCAGCCAAGUAGCGUGCAGGAUGACGGCCCUACGGGUUGUAAACUGCUUUUAUCAGGGAAUAACGCGCCUUACGUGUAGGGCUUUGCAUGUACCGUAUGAAUAAGGACCGGCUAAUUCAGUGCCAGCAGCCACGGUAAUACGGAGGGUCCGGGCGUUAUCCGGAUUUAUUGGGGUUAAAGGGAGCGUAGGCGGCAGGUCAAACGUGCUGUGAAAUGUCCGGGCUCAACCCGGGCCUUGCAGCGCGAACUGGCGUGCUUGAGUCCGCGGAAGGCAGGCGGAAUUCGUCGUGUAGCGGUGAAAUGCUUAGAUAUGACGAAGAACCCCGAGUGCGAAGGCAGCUUGCUGCAGCGGAACUGACGCUGAUGCUCGAAAGCGCGGGUAUCGAACAGGAUUAGAUACCCUUGUAGUC
rnacentral:rRNA from 1 species